ACGAACGCUGGCGGCGUGCUUAACACAUGCAAGUCGAACGGAAAGGCCCCAGCUUGCUGGGGUACUCGAGUGGCGAACGGGUGAGUAACACGUGGGUGAUCUGCCCUGCACUCUGGGAUAAGCCUGGGAAACUGGGUCUAAUACCGGAUAGGACCGUGCUUUAGUGUGUGCGGUGGAAAGUUUUUCGGUGCAGGAUGAGCCCGCGGCCUAUCGGCUUGUUGGUGGGGUAAUGGCCUACCAAGGCGGCGACGGGUAGCCGGCCUGAGAGGGUGUACGGCCACAUUGGGACUGAGACACGGCCCAGACUCCUACGGGAGGCAGCAGUGGGGAAUAUUGCACAAUGGGCGCAAGCCUGAUGCAGCGACGCCGCGUGGGGGAUGACGGCCUUCGGGUUGUAAACCCCUUUCGGCAGGGACGAAGCUUUUGUGACGGUACCUGCAGAAGAAGCACCGGCUAACUACGUG
rnacentral:rRNA from 1 species